rnacentral:rRNA from 1 species
UACGUAGGUCCCGAACGUUGCGCGAAUUUACUGGGCGUAAAGGGUCCGUAGGCGGUUUAGCAAGUGGUUGGUGAAAUUUCACGGCUCAACCGUGAAACUGCCUUCCAAACUGCUAAACUUGAGGCAGGGAGAGGUCGGCGGAAUUCCCAGUGUAGCGGUGAAAUGCGUAGAUAUCGGGAGGAACACCAGUGGCGAAGGCGGCCGACUGGAACUGUACUGACGCUGAGGUACGAAAGCUAGGGGAGCAAACCGG